rnacentral:rRNA from 1 species
GUGAAAUUCCGUCGGAAUCUGGGAGGACCAUCUCCUAAGGCUAAAUACUCUCUAGUGACCGAUAGUGAACCAGUACCGUGAGGGAAAGGUGAAAAGCACCCCGGAAGGGGAGUGAAAUAGAACCUGAAACCGUGUGCUUACAAGUAGUCAGAGCCCGUUAAUGGGUGAUGGCGUGCCUUUUGUAGAAUGAACCGGCGAGUUACGAUUUGAUGCAAGGUUAAGCAGUAAAUGUGGAGCCGUAGCGAAAGCGAGUCUGAAUAGGGCGUUUAGUAUUUGGUCGUAGACCCGAAACCAGGUGAUCUACCCUUGGUCAGGUUGAAGUUCAGGUAACACUGAAUGGAGGACCGAACCGACUUACGUUGAAAAGUGAGCGGAUGAACUGAGGGUAGCGGAGAAAUUCCAAUCGAACCUGGAGAUAGCUGGUUCUCUCCGAAAUAGCUUUAGGGCUAGCCUCAAGUGAUGAUUAUUGGAGGUAGAGCACUGUUUGGACGAGGGGCCCCUCUCGGGUUACCGAAUUCAGACAAACUCCGAAUGCCAAUUAAUUUAACUUGGGAGUCAGAACAUGGGUGAUAAGGUCCAUGUUCGAAAGGGAAACAGCCCAGACCACCAGCUAAGGUCCCAAAAUAUAUGUUAAGUGGAAAAGGAUGUGGCGUUGCCCAGACAACUAGGAUGUUGGCUUAGAAGCAGCCAUCAUUUAAAGAGUGCGUAAUAGCUCACUAGUCGAGUGACACUGCGCCGAAAAUGUACCGGGGCUAAACAUAUUACCGAAGCUGUGGAUUGUCCUUUGGACAAUGGUAGGAGAGCGUUCUAAGGGCGUUGAAGCAUGAUCGUAAGGACAUGUGGAGCGCUUAGAAGUGAGAAUGCCGGUGUGAGUAGCGAAAGAUGGGUGAGAAUCCCGUCCACCGAUUGACUAAGGUUUCCAGAGGAAGGCUCGUCCGCUCUGGGUUAGUCGGGUCCUAAGCUGAGGCCGACAGGCGUAGGCGAUGGAUAACAGGUUGAUAUUCCUGUACCACCUAUAAUCGUUUUAAUCGAUGGGGGGACGCAGUAGGAUAGGCGAAGCGUGCGAUUGGAUUGCACGUCUAAGCAGUAAGGCUGAGUAUUAGGCAAAUCCGGUACUCGUUAAGGCUGAGCUGUGAUGGGGAGAAGACAUUGUGUCUUCGAGUCGUUGAUUUCACACUGCCGAGAAAAGCCUCUAGAUAGAAAAUAGGUGCCCGUACCGCAAACCGACACAGGUAGUCAAGAUGAGAAUUCUAAGGUGAGCGAGCGAACUCUCGUUAAGGAACUCGGCAAAAUGACCCCGUAACUUCGGGAGAAGGGGUGCUCUUUAGGGUUAACGCCCAGAAGAGCCGCAGUGAAUAGGCCCAAGCGACUGUUUAUCAAAAACACAGGUCUCUGCUAAACCGUAAGGUGAUGUAUAGGGGCUGACGCCUGCCCGGUGCUGGAAGGUUAAGAGGAGUGGUUAGCUUCUGCGAAGCUACGAAUCGAAGCCCCAGUAAACGGCGGCCGUAACUAUAACGGUCCUAAGGUAGCGAAAUUCCUUGUCGGGUAAGUUCCGACCCGCACGAAAGGCGUAACGAUUUGGGCACUGUCUCAACGAGAGACUCGGUGAAAUCAUAGUACCUGUGAAGAUGCAGGUUACCCGCGACAGGACGGAAAGACCCCGUGGAGCUUUACUGUAGCCUGAUAUUGAAAUUCGGCACAGCUUGUACAGGAUAGGUAGGAGCCUUUGAAACGUGAGCGCUAGCUUACGUGGAGGCGCUGGUGGGAUACUACCCUAGCUGUGUUGGCUUUCUAACCCGCACCACUUAUCGUGGUGGGAGACAGUGUCAGGCGGGCAGUUUGACUGGGGCGGUCGCCUCCUAAAAGG